rnacentral:misc_RNA from 1 species
UCCAGCUUAUCGCUGGCGGUCUCCUGCGAGUUCCCAACUGAAUGAUGGCAACUAAGAACAGGGGUUGCGCCACUUAAGGCAACACCUCACGGCACGAGCUGACGACAGCCAUGCACCACCUGUGCGGGCUCCGUAGAGCGCUGGCUUUCACCAGCUUUACCCCGCAUGUCAAGCCCAGGUAAGGUUCUUCGCGUCGCGUCGAAUUAAGCCACAUGCUCCGCCGCUUGUGCGGGCCCCCGUCAAUUCCUUUGAGUUUCAGUCUUGCGACCGUACUCCCCAGGCGGCGAACUUAACGCGUUAGCUUCGACACUGAGAGCCUAGUUGCUCCCAACGUCCAGUUCGCAUCGUUUAGGGCGUGGACUAC